CGAACGCUGGCGGCGUGCCUAAUACAUGCAAGUCGAACGCUUCUUUUUCCACCGGAGCUUGCUCCACCGGAAAAAGAAGAGUGGCGAACGGGUGAGUAACACGUGGGUAACCUGCCCAUCAGAAGGGGAUAACACUUGGAAACAGGUGCUAAUACCGUAUAACAAUCAAAACCGCAUGGUUUUGAUUUGAAAGGCGCUUUCGGGUGUCGCUGAUGGAUGGACCCGCGGUGCAUUAGCUAGUUGGUGAGGUAACGGCUCACCAAGGCCACGAUGCAUAGCCGACCUGAGAGGGUGAUCGGCCACAUUGGGACUGAGACACGGCCCAAACUCCUACGGGAGGCAGCAGUAGGGAAUCUUCGGCAAUGGACGAAAGUCUGACCGAGCAACGCCGCGUGAGUGAAGAAGGUUUUCGGAUCGUAAAACUCUGUUGUUAGAGAAGAACAAGGAUGAGAGUAACUGUUCAUCCCUUAACGGUAUCUAACCAGAAAGCCACGGCUAACUACGUGCCAGCAGCCGCGGUAAUACGUAGGUGGCAAGCGUUGUCCGGAUUUAUUGGGCGUAAAGCGAGCGCAGGCGGUUUCUUAAGUCUGAUGUGAAAGCCCCCGGCUCAACCGGGGAGGGUCAUUGGAAACUGGGAGACUUGAGUGCAGAAGAGGAGAGUGGAAUUCCAUGUGUAGCGGUGAAAUGCGUAGAUAUAUGGAGGAACACCAGUGGCGAAGGCGGCUCUCUGGUCUGUAACUGA
rnacentral:rRNA from 1 species